CCCGCCACUAGCAGAAGCUAAGCGCUUGAAAAGCGCGCUAAGAAAGGUUGCUUCUGUCGCCCUUUCUGUGCAACAGUCCACCAGUAGCGGAAGAGAGGGUUACCGUACAUACAAGAGUCUUCCAGUUCUUACGGAAGCUCUUUCUUACCAGUCAAUCAAGUAGUACAAGAACUGUAUCUUAUCUUAUAGCCCGGCGCGGCGGGUCGCCUUUUAAAUUAAGUAGAUAGAAGAAAGUAUUAAAUAGAUAAGGAGUAGGUGAGUGAGUGAGUCCUCACUGACCUGAGCGAUUUCGAUCACCUAGCAGGCCUUUUAUUUGGUAGGUAACAUCGCCAAAGCGUAUCAUCAGAUUUGACUACGAAGGAAGGAACUCAAAGCUCUUUCUUACCAGUCAAUCAAGUAUUACAAGAACUGUAACUUAUCUUAUAGCCCGGUGCGGCGGGUCGCCAUUUAAAUUAAGUAGAUAGAAGAAAGUAUUAAAUAGAUAAGGAGUAGGUGAGUGAGUGAGUCCUCACUGACCUGAGCGAUUUCGAUCACCUAGCAGGCCUUUUAUUUGGUAGGUAACAUCGCCAAAGCGUAUCAUCAGAUUUGACUGCGAAGGAAGGAACUCGAAGUGAAAGGGCACCGUCUUGUGCAAGGAAACGAUAG
rnacentral:lncRNA from 1 species